rnacentral:lncRNA from 1 species
UUUCGCUCUGUGAACUAGUCUGGCCGAGCAGGAAUGCUAACACCUAACGAAGGGCCCUGGCUGAUGGCUGGUGGCUGGGGUGGUCUUGCUUACCCUUUGGGUGGAUUUCAGCACAGGGAGACAAGGCUUGAAAGGCUGCCGCCUGAGCUGUUCUUCAGACAGUGACGCUUCAGCCACUUACUUUUCCGCCUACAGAUUUUUAGAGCAGCAGCAAUGGAAACAGAAGUGUCUUCCUGUGGUCUGCUCUGAAUUCACUCAUGAGGCAAAUUUUAGUUCCUCUAAUUAUUCUAAACCUCUUCUCAGACAAAGCACCAGGAUUAAUUAGCAGAGUUCAUUUACUGUGGCAUGUGCACUUGGGAAUAAAGAAUUUGGAAUCAGGUCACUAGAGACCCCUUGAGAACCUAGAAGAGUAGAAGGAAAAAAAUAGUUUUCUUCCCCUAGAGUUUCAGAGUGUCGUGUGGCCUUAAGCAAGUUUCUUAUGCUUUCUGAACCUCAGUUUCAUCAUCUGUAAAAUGGUUAUAAUGAGAAGAGAUGAUCCUCACAGAAGAAGGCCUGGCAUGAAUGGCACUUUUGUAUUUUCCCUGCAUCGUAUUAGAGAAAGUUGUGUUUCCUCCAUAUUGCAAGAUCUGUUUGGAAACAAGAGAGUCUUUGGACUUAUCUGCCUACGUUGUUUAAUCUUUUCCUCCACUGUGAUGAGAACCAUCUGGCAUUUUGAAAAGGUGGAAAAUAAAGAAAUUAACGAACUAUAAAAUGUUGCUAGAGGUUGAAGAUGU